AGAGUUUGAUCAUGGCUCAGAUUGAACGCUGGCGGCAUGCCUUACACAUGCAAGUCGAACGGUAACGCGGACUUCGGUCUGGCGACGAGUGGCGAACGGGUGAGUAAUAUAUCGGAACGUGCCCUGGAGUGGGGGAUAGCUCGGCGAAAGCCGGAUUAAUACCGCAUACGAUCUAAGGAUGAAAGUGGGGGAUCGCAAGACCUCAUGCUCCUGGAGCGGCCGAUAUCUGAUUAGCUAGUUGGUAGGGUAAAAGCCUACCAAGGCUACGAUCAGUAGCUGGUCUGAGAGGACGACCAGCCACACUGGGACUGAGACACGGCCCAGACUCCUACGGGAGGCAGCAGUGGGGAAUAUUGCACAAUGGGCGAAAGCCUGAUGCAGCGACGCCGCGUGAGGGAUGACGGCCUUCGGGUUGUAAACCUCUUUCAGCAGGGAAGAAGCGCAAGUGACGGUACCUGCAGAAGAAGCACCGGCUAACUACGUGCCAGCAGCCGCGGUAAUACGUAGGGUGCAAGCGUUGUCCGGAAUUAUUGGGCGUAAAGAGCUCGUAGGCGGCUUGUCGCGUCGGUUGUGAAAGCCCGGGGCUUAACCCUGGGUCUGCAGUCGAUACGGGCAGGCUAGAGUUCGGCAGGGGAGACUGGAAUUCCUGGUGUAGCGGUGAAAUGCGCAGAUAUCAGGAGGAACACCGGUGGCGAAGGCGGGUCUCUGGGCCGAUACUGACGCUGAGGAGCGAAAGCGUGGGGAGCGAACAGGAUUAGAUACCCUGGUAGUCCACGCUGU
rnacentral:rRNA from 1 species